CAGUUGGCAAUACUCCAUUACAACGAGAAUGCUGACCGUGUGCAAGUGGAAAGAGAGGGCUCCAAGCAGUUCCGACUGAAGCCAUCCAAGCUGAAAAAGACGUGGGUGGCCGUACCCCUCAAAGAAAAUGCUACCUAUGAUUAUGCGGCAACACUGAUUGCAGAGGUUCUGACUCGCAUUCAAGAACACCAAACGCAGUCAGCAGCUGCAGAAACUCGGCCAGCUCGUUCAGCAACAUAUGGUGAGAAGCCAACUCUUAGGCAAGCUGUGGAACAACACCAAACACGGUUCCAGAAGGGAAAGUAGGCCAUGUCCACACCAGCUGAGGACCACGGACAGCUGGCCAUCUUGACAUAUGACAUCACAAACGGCCCUUUUCAGGGCCAACCAAUGCUUUACGCAAAGACAAGCGUUGCUUGUAGAUCAACCCACCUCAUAUGACAUUGCAUAUUAAUUCUCAAACCCAUUUUGAUAAUUGCAUAACUAAAAUCAUUAAAGGGACUAUCGCAUCUA